rnacentral:rRNA from 1 species
AUUGAACGCUGGCGGCAGGCCUAACACAUGCAAGUCGAGCGGAUGAAGGGAGCUUGCUCCUGGAUUCAGCGGCGGACGGGUGAGUAAUGCCUAGGAAUCUGCCUGGUAGUGGGGGAUAACGUCCGGAAACGGGCGCUAAUACCGCAUACGUCCUGAGGGAGAAAGUGGGGGAUCUUCGGACCUCACGCUAUCAAAUGAGCCUAGGUCGGAUUAGCUAGUUGGUGGGGUAAAGGCCUACCAAGGCGACGAUCCGUAACUGGUCUGAGAGGAUGAUCAGUCACACUAGAACUGAGACACGGUCCAGACUCCUACGGGAGGCAGCAGUGGGGAAUAUUGGACAAUGGGCGAAAGCCUGAUCCAGCCAUGCCGCGUGUGUGAAGAAGGUCUUCGGAUUGUAAAGCACUUUAAGUUGGGAGGAAGGGCAGUAAGUUAAUACCUUGCUGUUUUGACGUUACCAACAGAAUAAGCACCGGCUAACUUCGUG